rnacentral:rRNA from 1 species
AUUGAACGCUGGCGGCAGGCUUAACACAUGCAAGUCGAGCGAGCGGCGGACGGGUGAGUAAUGUAUGGGAAUCUGCCCGAUGGAGGGGGAUAACUACUGGAAACGGUAGCUAAUACCGCAUACUAUCAGAUGAACCCAGAUGGGAUUAGCUAGUAGGUGGGGUAAAGGCUCACCUAGGCGACGAUCCCUAGCUGGUCUGAGAGGAUGAUCAGCCACACUUGAACUGAGACACGGCCCAGACUCCUACGGGAGGCAGCAGUGGGGAAUAUUGCACAAUGGGGGCAAGCCUGAUGCAGCCAUGCCGCGUGUAUGAAGAAGGCCUUAGGGUUGUAAAGGACUUUCAGCGAGGAGGCGUUACUCGCAGAAGAAGCACCGGCUAACUCCGUGCCAGCAGCCGCGGUAAUAC